GGACUGAGACACGGCCCAGACUCCUACGGGAGGCAGCAGUUGGGAAUAUUGGACAAUGGAGGAAACUCUGAUCCAGCGACGCCGCGUGAAGGAAGAAGGUCUUCGGAUUGUAAACUUAUUUUAUCAGGGAAGAAAAUGACUGUACCUGAAGAAGAAGGACCGGCAAACUACGUGCCAGCAGCCGCGGUAAUACGUAGGGUCCGAGCGUUAUCCGGAUUUACUGGGUAUAAAGGGCGAGUAGACGGUUUAGCAAGUCAGAUGUGAAAACUUGGAGCUCAACUCCAAGCCUGCAUCUGAAACUGUUAGACUAGAGUGCAGGAGAGGUAAGCGGAAUUCCUAGUGUAGCGGUGAAAUGCGUAGAUAUUAGGAGGAACACCAGUGGCGAAGGCGGCUUACUGGACUGUAACUGACGUUGAGGAGCGAAAGUGUGGGGAGCAAACAGGAUUAGAUACCCUGGUAGUCCACACUGUAAACGAUGGAUACUAGGUGUAGGCAUGCAAAUGUCUGUGCCGGCGCAAAUGCAAUAAGUAUCCCACCUGGGGAGUACGGCCGCAAGGUUGAAACUCAAAGGAAUUGACGGGGGCCCGCACAAGCAGUGGAGUAUGUGGUUUAAUUCGACGCAACGCGAAGAACCUUACCAAGACUUGACAUAUACAGGAAUAUCUGGGAAAUCAGAUAGUUCUUCGGAACUUGUAUACAGGUGAUGCAUGGUUGUCGUCAGCUCGUGUCGUGAGAUGUUGGGUUAAGUCCCGCAACGAGCGCAACCCUCGUGAUUAGUUGCUGCCAAGAGAACUCUAAUCAGACUGCCGUAGUUAAUACGGAGGAAGGUGAGGAUGACGUCAAAUCAUCACGUCCCUUAUGUCUUGGGCUACACACGUACUACAAUGGCUACUACAAAGAGAAGCAAUACCGUAAGGUGGAGCAAAACUGCAAAAAGUAGCCCUAGUUCGGAUUGGGGGCUGCAACCCGCCCCCAUGAAGCUGGAAUUGCUAGUAAUCAUAGGUCAGCAUACUAUGGUGAAUACGUUCCCGGGCCUUGUACACACCGCCCGUCAAACCAUGAGAAUUGAAAAUACCCGAAGCCCAUGUUAAAGUGGUCCACGGUAGGUUCAGUGAUUGGGGUUAAGUCGUAACAAGGUAGCCGUAUCGGAAGGUGCGGCUG
rnacentral:rRNA from 1 species